GACGAACGCUUGCGACGUGCCUAAGAAAUGCAAGUCGAGCGAAGUUAGGGAGCUUGCUCCCGAAGCUUAGCGGCGAACGGUCGCGUAACACGUAAGCAACCUGCCCCAAAGAGGGGGAUAGCCCACCGAAAGGUGGAUUAAUACCGCAUGUGAACACUUUUCCGCAUGUUUAAGUGUUUAAAGCAGCAAUGCGCUUUGGGAUGGGCUUGCGGCCUAUCAGCUAGUUGGUGAGGUAACGGCUCACCAAGGCGACGACGGGUAGCUGGUCUGAGAGGAUGGUCAGCCGGACUGGGACUGAGAUACGGCCCAGACUCCUACGGGGGGCAGCAAUUAGGAAUCUUGCACAAUGGGCGAAAGCCUGAUGCAGCGACGUCGCGUGAAGGAUGACGGCCUUCGGGUUGUAAACUUCUUUUAAGGGGGAAGAACACAAUGACGGUACCCCUUGAAUAAGCCCCGGCUAACUACGUGCCAGCAGCCGCAGUAACAC
rnacentral:rRNA from 1 species